UUAAUUUUAAUGAGAAAAUUAGAUUUAUAACAAUUAAAAUUAACAAUGCCAUCAAAUUGUGAGAGGGGGAACCUUGAAGAUUGUGCCUUUUCAGAACUAUUAGGAGCCUUGUUAACACAGAUAUACAGAGCUUGCGUCCCCUAUCCUGUAUUUGGAAUACUUUUCGUCGAGAACGCCAUAUAUCAUCUUUUCAUCGAAAUUUUCUUAAUUCUUGUGCUUUUAAAAGUUUGGUUUGCUCCUCGCCAGAAAACAAAAUCGGAAGCGGAUAACUUAACAGAAGCAGAAAUUGAAGAGGUUAUCGAGGCUUAUAAACCAGCUCCGUUGGUUAAUUAUAAAAAAACUCAAUCUGAAAAAUCUAAAGUCUUCGUAUUUACUUCCCCGCUCAGCACUGAAGUUAAUUUGGACGACAAAAAGUUCAUUAACGCUGGAACUUUUGACUUUUUGGGAAUU